GGGCACAUGGUCCAGUGGUCUAAGACGCUCGCAGAGAGGCGUGAGGAUCGGCGGGCUGGAUGUAGUCUAUGGACCCCACUCAUCGCUGGUUGUCGUAAGACAGCCGCUUUCGAAGCGAGAAACGUCCGUUCGAAUCGGACUGAGUCCA